AGGGAAGGAGGGCGGUAGGCCUAACACAUGCAAGUCGAACGGCAGCACAGUAAGAGCUUGCUCUUACGGGUGGCGAGUGGCGGACGGGUGAGGAAUACAUCGGAAUCUACUUUUUCGUGGGGGAUAACGUAGGGAAACUUACGCUAAUACCGCAUACGACCUACGGGUGAAAGCAGGGGAUCUUCGGACCUUGCGCGAUUGAAUGAGCCGAUGUCGGAUUAGCUAGUUGGCGGGGUAAAGGCCCACCAAGGCGACGAUCCGUAGCUGGUCUGAGAGGAUGAUCAGCCACACUGGAACUGAGACACGGUCCAGACUCCUACGGGAGGCAGCAGUGGGGAAUAUUGGACAAUGGGCGCAAGCCUGAUCCAGCCAUACCGCGUGGGUGAAGAAGGCCUUCGGGUUGUAAAGCCCUUUUGUUGGGAAAGAAAAGCAGCAGGUUAAUACCCCGCUGUUCUGACGGUACCCAAAGAAUAAGCACCGGCUAACUUCGUG
rnacentral:rRNA from 1 species